rnacentral:pre_miRNA from 1 species
CUGGAGGAUAUGUGUGUGUGCAUGUGCAUGUAUGUUUGUGCACAGGUGCACAUCCCUGCAUGUAUGCACUUAAUAUCCUGUACACCA